rnacentral:rRNA from 1 species
UGGCGCACGGGUGCGUAACGCGUGGGAAUCUGCCCUUAGGUACGGAAUAACUCAGGGAAACUUGAGCUAAUACCGUAUAAUGACUCCGGUCCAAAGAUUUAUCGCCUGAGGAUGAGCCCGCGUCGGAUUAGCUAGUUAGUGAGGUAAAAGCUCACCAAGGCGACGAUCCGUAGCUGGUCUGAGAGGAUGAUCGGCCACACUGGGACUGAGACACGGCCCAGACUCCUACGGGAGGCAGCAGUGGGGAAUAUUGGACAAUGGGCGAAAGCCUGAUCCAGCAAUGCCGCGUGAGUGAUGAAGGCCUUAGGGUUGUAAAGCUCUUUUACCCGGGAUGAUAAUGACAGUACCGGGAGAAUAAGCCCCGGCUAACUCCGUGCCAGCAGCCGCGGUAAUACGGAGGGGGCUAGCGUUGUUCGGAAUUACUGGGCGUAAAGCGCACGUAGGCGGCUUUGUAAGUUAGAGGUGAAAGCCCGGGGCUCAACUCCGGAAUUGCCUUUAAGAC